rnacentral:lncRNA from 1 species
CACGACGACUGUUUUGACUGUGGAGCCGUGCCGGUUGGUGGCGUUGCAGAGGUAAAUGCCCGGUGACAGGUUACCAGGGGUCAUAGAGUUUCUAGGACCAGAGUUUGAGGACACCAAGGGCAACACUAUCCCUUCGCUUGCACCCUCCGAGCCUACGCACUCCACACGUGGUUCUGGCUUCCCAUCAACUUCACAGGAAAACAGCUUUCCAGAUCCCUCUACCCACGUCCAGUUGCUGGGGCAGCCCAACUCCUCAAAACUGGGACCAUCUAGGAAGCAGGGAAAUAAGAGUUGACAUAGAGGACAGAGGAUGCGGGUGCGGACUUCUCUGCAGUCACCCCUACUCACAUUCCACCGUGACGGCCACAUUUUUGGCCGCUGAUCCUCUGGCGUUGAUGGCUUCGCAUCGCUUCUACCUGCUCCUGCCCUGGAACUCUCCUGCCCUGCUUUUUCUGGUGUAGACGCCCCGCCCACUUUAUUGGCUCCGCCUCUGUGAGACUCUGGUUCCAGCCCCAGCCAAUGAAGGCCCCCUGGAUUCCCCUUACUGUAAACAGUCAGGUUUUCCUGGGUCUCCCUGCUUUCGCCCCCGAGGGUCACGACGCACAUCAGCUGUUUGGUGCCUUCCUGUUCUGCGCUUGCUGUAGCUGUGGCAGUGGCCACAAGGCUGUCCCCAUCGAGGGUCACAUUAGGAUUGAGCCUCUGAUCUCCCAGAGAGAGGUAAACCCCGGCUUCUGGGGCAGGAAACAGUCCAUCCAACGUGCAAGUCACCGGCCUUUCUGAGUCCACUUCUAAGACUCGGGGAGCAAUAAGACUCGGGGAAUGUGGAGGCAUGGCUGGGGCGGACAAAGAACAGGAUUUGAGUUUAUGAACUAAGCAUUCAGUGUUGACAAGCCAAUUUGCAUGCAUUGUUUGGUUUCAUCCUAAAAAUACAGAAGGGCGGGCGAGAUGGCACCACAAGUUUAGGUGCUUGUUGUUAAGCCUGACUUGACUCGAUCCCCAGGACCUACAUGAUGGAAAGAGAGAACUAAACUCCUACUUAUCCUUUAACUUCCACACAUGCACUGUGGCAUGUGCAUAAACGCAUAUACACACACUCUCUUUUUCUCUCAAUAAAUAAAUGCAUAAAGAAAAAGACCACAGAAGAAAGCACUUGGGCUGGAGAGAUGGCUCAGUGGGUAAGAGCACCCGACUGCUCUUCCGAAGGUCCGAAGUUCAAAUCCCAGCAACC